rnacentral:rRNA from 1 species
AUUGAACGCUGGCGGCAGGCCUAACACAUGCAAGUCGAACGGUAACAGGAAGAAGCUUGCUUCUUUGCUGACGAGUGGCGGACGGGUGAGUAAUGUCUGUGAAACUGCCUGAUGGAGGGGGAUAACUACUGGAAACGGUAGCUAAUACCGCAUAACUUCUCAAGACCAAAGUGGGGGACCUUCGGGCCUCUUGCCAUCCGAUGUUCCCAGAUGGGAUUAGCUAGUAGGUGGGGUAACGGCUCACCUAGGCGACGAUCCCUAGCUGGUCUGAGAGGAUGACCAGCCACACUGGAACUGAGACACGGUCCAGACUCCUACGGGAGGCAGCAGUGGGGAAUAUUGCACAAUGGGCGCAAGCCUGAUGCAGCCAUGCCGCGUGUAUGAAGAAGGCCUUCGGGUUGUAAAGUACUUUCAGCGGGGAGGAAGGGAGUAGAGUUAAUACCUGUGCUCAUUGACGGUACCCGCAGAAGAAGCACCGGCUAACUCCGUG